rnacentral:rRNA from 1 species
AACGAACGCUGGCGGCAUGCCUAACACAUGCAAGUCGAACGAGAGCUUCGGGACUAGUGGCGCACGCGUGCGUAACGCGUCGGAAGCGGCCCGUAGGUACCGAAAAACUCUCCUUCAGGGGGGCUAAUACAGGAUAAUGUCUUCGGACCACAGAUUUAUCGACUUUGGAUGGGCCCGCGUUGGAUGAGCUGGUUGGGAGGGUAAAAGCCUACCAAGGCGACGAUCCAUAGCUGGUCUGAGAGGAUGAUCAGCCACACUGGGACUGAGACACGGCCCAGAAUCCUAGAGGAGGGAGCGAUGGGGAAUAUAGGACAAGGGGCGAGAGCCUGAUCCAGCUAUGCCGCGUAAGUGAUGAAGGCCUUAGGGUUAUAAAGCUCUUUUACCCAGGGUGAUAAUGACGGUACCGGGAGAAUAAGCACCGGCUAACUCCGUG